CCUAACCAACCGCCAGCUGCCGUUCUCAAAAAAAUCCGAACGAAGAGAGCGCGAACUCUGUUGGAAAUGAAGGCGACCAAAUUGGAAAAUUUAGGUUCCUGUGAAUUCCCAAAAAAAUCAAGAUAAAGAAGUCCUCGAGCGACUCCUGCGAUAAUAUGAAAGCGUGUUUUCCAAUCCAGCAAUGUUCCUCUGCUUUUGUCUGGUGCUCAUUUCUGGUAUCCCGUUGAAAUCAUCGCCGGUCCAGGGACCAGACCGCCACCGCUUCACAUAGCCAAAAAAGACGG